CCUGUUGGUCUAAAAUUAGGUUAUGGAGCAGUCGAAAAAAAAGAAGGUUCCCAGACCAAAUAAAAAUGUUGGGUUCUCAGGAGUUAAACGCAUGCCGAGAUCAUUGGCACGGCUGUGGCGGCUGAGAGCCAGUUGCUAUGUGGUAUGUGAAGCCGUAAAACAUGCAGUGCUGAGUGGCAGCACAGAUCACGAGCAUUCUCCUGUUUCAUAGGCUGCUCGAGCCAUGCCACAGCCACACCAUGCCAGGCCAGGCUACAUGACAGUCCUCUACGACAUACAGUCACACCACCACCAUGACUAGGAUACCGUGACCAUUCAUACCUGACGGCGGCUGGGUCAGACACGGGCAUUGUGGAUCUGGAACAGAGGGUGUCUGUUUCGUUUACAGCCCCUCUGCCAGCAGCUUGUGACGUCCUUGAGAACAAACUGUCAGCGGUGAACAAGUUUUCCAUAAGGGGGAAAAUGUCGCCGGUCAUUAUGACACAUAACCGCUCACUCAAAAGAUUUAAAAGGAUUGCCAGAUGGAGCUAUACAUGCGCAUACUCAACCAUUUACACAUCAUCGCACGGGUGAAUGUUCAAUUGACUUUGAAUGAGCAGAGCAAAAACCCAUUACACAAGGCCCAGAGAUCUCCUGUGCUUGCAGCGACAUAUACUUAUCCUCUCAACUUUGGUGUAAAAGGUCAACAUUUGCCGACACACACUCCCUAACCUCCCAGCUCCCUCCACUGACGUGAUGGCGACAGGGGACGAUGAGGGGAUCUUUGUUGAGGCAGGAUUUCUUUACGCCUUGAAGCCUCUGGACAGAGAGAAGCAGAGCCAUCUUACUCCCUGCAGGUGUCCUUCUCAGCAGGAGUCAACUAACCUGGAGUCGAAUCAAUAAAACAACAUUGGAGAUUUUGGUAAGAACUGCCCUGCCCCAUAAAAACACUGCAUUGCCUGAUGUGAACCA